rnacentral:lncRNA from 1 species
GCCGCAUCUGUGGCAUAUGGAAGUUCCCAGGCUAAGGUUCAAAUAUGAACUGCAGCUGAGACCUCUGCCACAGCCACAGCAACACCAUAUCCAAGUCGCAUGUGUGACCUAUGCCACAGCUUGCGACAACACCAGAUCCUUAACCCACUGAUCGAGGCCAGGGAUUGAACCCUCAUCCUCACGGACACUAUAUUGGGAUCUUAAUCCAUUGAGUCACAAUAGGAACUCUGACCCCAUGGGAUUUUCUUGUUGUUGUUGUUUUUCAAAGACAAUUGCUUCUUCCUGGAUUGGUAUUGUGUGAGAGGGGUUCAGGGCUAAAAUGAAUAGAUCUCUAACCAAAGAUCUUAAUAGGGAUAAAAAUUACUUUUGACAAAUCCCACUCUAAAUCAUUGUAGUGGGCAACUCUGAGCACCAAAAACGAACAAGAGUUACAAUGUCUGAGGGCUUUGUCUCCUUUGUCAACAAGAAUAUGUGGUUUAGAGGUACAAGCCACCAACCAGUGACCCCCUGGAAGGCCACCACCAAGAGAGCUGCUUCCUGACUCCAGUUCUGGGUGACCCUGUCUGUGGCUUGCUGAGGAGUCUACUGAUGUUCUACCCUAACUCCCACCCUUGCUGCUGUUACUCCCCUGAGUAACAGAACCCUGAGUUUAUUUCAGGCAACAGUGUACCCAACUAAACAGGUCCCAGCCUUCCUUGCAGCUAAGUGUGGCCAUGUGGUUAGAGUCUGCCCAAUGAGGUAUAAGCUGAGAAGUUGUCAGUGGAUUCCAGAAAGUCUCAUUAAAAGGGAGGGGACCCUUUUACCUCUUUUCACUGCUCCUUCCUGUUGCCUGGAAUGAGGUGAUGGUUGCUGAGCUCAAGCAGCCAUCUUGGACUUAGAUGAUGCGAGGAGGAAAGCUUCCUGGUGGCAGAGUUCCCACUGGGGCUCAGCAGGUUCAAAACCCAAUGUAGUCUCUGUAAGGAUGCGGCUUCGAUGCCUGGCCUCACUCAGUGGGUUAAGGAUCUAGUGUUGCCACAAGCUGUAGCAUAGCUUGCAGAUGUGGCUUGAAUCUGAUAUUGCUGUGGCUGUAGCGCAGGCUGGCAGCUGCAGCUCUGAUUUGACCCCUAGCCCAGGAACUUCCAUAUGCUGCAGGUGCAGCUGUAAAAAGAAAAAAAAAAAACAACCCAAAAAAACAAAAAACUUCUUGCUACUCUUUAAGGGUCUUUGUCAUCGUCAGCAGAUGCAGUUUCUAACUGAUAUGUGGAAGCUCACUGGGCCUCAUUUUGUGGAAGGGCAAAGGUGUCCACAGUUCCUCUAAGCCAACUGCUACUUCUGCUCUCUCUGGAAGAAUCAUCCUGCCCAAGAGGGCCCAAUUCUUUCACAACUUUC